rnacentral:misc_RNA from 1 species
CUUAGACAGCAUUUCCUAGACAUGUACUUUAUACAAUCUUAAUAGAAUCGAACCACUGGUAAGUACCAUUUUCCCAUAACACUACUAUGGUACUAAGGAUUUAUGUCACGAAGGCAUAGAUACACAAAAAUCAUCACCCGGUUAAUAACCAUGACAUAUUCAGUGUUUCUUCCAAGGGUUAUGGAUGGCAACUUACUCCUUGUAGAGUUUCCACAACCGUUAUUACCAUAACCCAAUGUGUAAGUUCGGAAUAGUGAAUACGUAAGGGAAAAGUGUUAGGUAGCCCUUACGGUAGAUCUAACCUCGUUAAUUCGAGCGCCAGUCCACUACUAAUGUUUCUAGAAGUUUUGUUCAUUAUUCUUUUAUUAAACUUUAUCCUAAAAAUGUAAUUCUAAUCAUACACAUACAAGUAAUUCAUAAAAGGGUUGUUGUUUACAAACAGUUUCAUAUCUAUAGGGUUACUAAUUAUUUAAAUGAUAUUUACUGGAUGACUAAAUUUAUUUUACAAAUAAAUUCAAUUUUAAACAACCCCAAGUUUCUAUUUAAUCUAAUUAAUUAAUUUUUCACCAAAUUACCCUAAGGAUAAUUAAACUAAGUUAAUUAUGUACAUGUG